UUCCUACGGGAGGCAGCAGUGGGGAAUAUUGCGCAAGGGGCGCAAGCCUGAUGUUGGCCAUGCCGCGUGUAUGAAGAAGACCUUCGGGUUGUAAAGUAAUUUCAGCCGGGAGGAUGUAAGUAAAGUUAAUACCUAGCUUAUUGACGGAGCUCAGU
rnacentral:rRNA from 1 species